rnacentral:lncRNA from 1 species
ACGCAAUACAUUAUAAACAUUGUUUCUUAUCAGUAUUGUAUGCUAUCCUAAUAUGCAUGUGUCCCCGCGGUAAUAGACAUUGCCAUUGAUUGUAUUAUGCGUUACGUGUUUAGUUUGCGUGUUUAAACAGAGCACACACGGCGCCCGCAUUCAUUCUUUCUUUUUUUUUAUAUAUAUAUUUUUUAUUUUACAUAAUGAACAACAAAGAUAACAAACAGGAACAGCAACAAAAACAACAACAACAGCAAGAAAAACAAAACAAAGACAAAAAACAAAACAUGAAUGAAAGUUCAUGAAUACAUUAGUAGUAUAUACUAUGUACUGUUUGGGUCCAUUCCUAUCUGAACACACUUCCGGUUGGGGAGGGUGGGGGUGGAGGGGGGAUCCCUAUUCACAGGGGCCACUUCCUGUUUAUGUUUUAUGACGGGUCGUAAACAUAGUAUAAAAAGGGGGCGACGGCUGCUGUAGGGUCUCCGCAUUCAUCAAGUUGUCUGCAGUGUUCUUUUCAUUCAACAUGGACUGCUCAUCAGAAGAAACCCGUAGAUCAGAUAGUGCUAUUUGGUUGUAUAGGGGCCCUCGUACCCCUACACCAUUGUCUUCCCCCGCCAUGGACGACUCUGCGUCGAGCAAUGAGGACAUUGAAAACCAGAUGCCUGAUGCACAGGUCAAUGAUGAACAUGUGCAAGGUGGGGGUGUGGCUAUGGAGACUGCUGAUUUAAAGGCUGUACAACCCGGACCCCACUGGCUUCAAGAGUAUGCCAUCUAUCUGACCGGAUUGAAUCUGACCUUCCUACACGUCGGAGAGGACAGUGAGCUGGAGGUGGACACUGCUAUGAGAGACGACGGAUGGCCUGUAUCAAUACAGAUCCGUUUAAACCCUGCAUCGCUGGCUGUUCUGCGAUUUACCACGGGGCUCUGUUCGGUGGCCAUCAUCAACCAUCAGAAGCAAGCGGACUGCUGGGGAUGCCAGUGUGAUUGCCCAAGUCAACGACGCCAUUCAUGCCUGCAGGGAGCGACACAUCAUCACUACGAAUCCCACUACCAUGACAUUUGUGUCAUCCUGGACAGACACCCCUUCCUGUUACUUUUAGAAACUGUUCUAAAGAAGACUACAGGGUUGACUGUGUCCCCCGGAAAAAUCUAUGGUGUGGUCGAAUCUUAUCUAUGUGAUUUAAUAUGCAAUACCUAUAAUACCGAAAAACUGGAUUUAAUGACCACCGAAGGUGUGUCCGAUGAACAUCUGCUUCUGAUACAUGAAGCCAUACAAAUGUGGCGUCCUACAUUGUCAUUAGGCAAACCAAAGCCUGCUGGUGGGUGGCGUUUAUAAUGGGGGUGUUGUUUUCUUAUGCGUAUGAUGCGGAUAGCAAGUAUGUAUCAGAUAGACUAUCCGUUUUGAUGUAUGCUGCCAUAGAAAAUGAUACAUAUGUCCAGCAUAAUGCCUAUAUCAAAUGCACGUAUAAGGGUUGGAAUGAUCUGGUCAUGAAAUUCUUGUAUGAUAAACCUACUGAUCAAAUGUUAGCUGAAAUAUUUCCCCAUUUCCCCGAUGGUGACUGUUUUACCAUCGGACAUGUCAUGUGUAUAUGUGCUUUUGUAUCGGAUGUCUUGAAGUUGAAUAAUGCCUCAAACGCCGAGGGUAUUAGAACUGCUAGAAUGAUGGCUUGUAAAAUGGUGCAGAAAAAUAAAACUGCAUGUAGGCUUUAUCUGAGAAUUGUUUUGAGUGGA